GUGUCAGCCGCCGCGGUAAUACGAAUGGGGCAAGCGUUGUUCGGAUUUACUGGGCGUAAAGCGGGCGUAGGCGGCCGGCUAAGUCGGAUGUGAAAUCCCGGGGCUCAACUCCGGAACUGCAUUCGAUACUGGUCGGCUAGAGUUCGAGAGGGGGAUGCGGAAUUCCGCGUGUAGCAGUGAAAUGCGUAGAUAUGCGGAGGAACACCUGAGGCGAAGGCGGCAUCCUGGAUCGACACUGACGCUGAGGCCCGAAAGCGUGGGGAGCGAACAGGAUUAGAGACCCUGGUAGUCCACGCCGUAAACGAUGCGUGCUAGCCGUCGGGGGGUUUGCCCCUCGGUGGCGCAGCUAACGCGGUAAGCACGCCGCCUGGGGAGUACGGCCGCAAGGCUAAAACUCAAAGGAAUUGACGGGG
rnacentral:rRNA from 1 species